GGAAACAAAAUUAGCAACAGAAUAUGCCGAUUUGCAAGUACGUGUACCUUUGCGAAGAGCAAUAGGAUGAUCAAGGCUACCUGGAGGAUCAGGCAAAGAAUAACAAGAUGAUGCAGGAACUGGUGCGAGGCAUGUAUCAUUUGUCUAUCUCCUCCGCGAAUAAACUUGGAACAAUUGGAGGUCUUGUUGGAGCAGGUACUGAAGGCAUAAUAGUCGACUGGUGCUCAAUAGAAGAACGGGGAGAUCGAAGAGUAUCAUCUGAUUGUUCUGUCAAAGUACGAGUAACCUGAUAUACUAGCCAUUCAUCUUCCUCCCCCCAACAACAACAACAACAACCCAGUAUAGCCCCACAACGUGGGGUCUGGGGAGGGUAAUAUGUAGACGAG
rnacentral:lncRNA from 1 species